rfam:Apaloderma vittatum contig69133, whole genome shotgun sequence.
GGCCAGUUAGCUCAGUCGAUUGAGCGUGGUGCUGAUAACACCAAUUUCGCAGGUUCGAUUCCCAUUUGGUCC